UACGUAGGGUGCGAGCGUUGUCCGGAAUUAUUGGGCGUAAAGAGCUUGUAGGCGGCCUGUCGCGUCUGCUGUGAAAAUCCGGGGCUCAACCCCGGACUUGCAGUGGGUACGGGCAGACUAGAGUGUGGUAGGGGAGACUGAAAUUCCUGGUGUAGCGGUGAAAUGCGCAGAUAUCAGGAGGAACACCGAUGGCGAAGGCAGGUCUCUGGGCCGCUACUGACGCUGAGAAGCGAAAGCAUGGGGAGCGAACAGG
rnacentral:rRNA from 1 species